CAACAUUAAGGCGUACGGUGGAUGCCUUGGUCGAAAGUACCGAAGAAGGACGUACAUGGUUGCGAUAAGCUGUGAGAAGCUGCCAAGAAGCUUUGACUCACAGAUCUCCGAAUGGGGUAACCCGCUCAUUUAUUGAGCACCUCCAACUGAAUACAUAGGUUGGCGGCGGGCACCUGCUGAACUGAAACAUCUAAGUAAGCAGAGGAAGAGAAAAUAAUAAUGAUUCCCCAAGUAGUGGCGAGCGAAAAGGGAACAGCCUAAACUUCAGAUUAUCCUAUUUCCGUAAGGAGAUAGGCCUGAAGGGUUGUAGGACUCAUAAUAUGCGAUGUAUUUUAGAUAAAAGAACUUACUGGAAAGUGAGACCAAAGAGGGUGAUAGUCCUGUAUUUGAAAUCUAAAAUACCGUUAUUGAGCACCUGAGUAGCCCAGGACACGUGUAAUCCUGGGUGAAGCGAGCAAGACCAUUUGCUAAGGCUAAAUAUACUUUCGGACCGAUAGUGAACUAGUACCGUGAGGGAAAGGUGAAAAGAAGGGCGAGACGCCCAGUGAAAUAGAAACUGAAACCGUAUGUUGACAAGCAGUGGAAGUACGCAGCACAGGAUAAUUCAAAUUAGAAACUCUAAUAUCGAAAUCCUAAAUACUAGAUAAGAACCAAAAUACUAAUUAAGAAAAACUCAAAAAUUUUUAGAUAUUUGAAUUUUGAUAAUUUUAAUUUGUCUAGAAUUUAGAGCUUAGGAUUUAGAAUUUCAACCAAUUGGAUUCUCUUGUGUUGCGUACAACCGCGUGCCUAUUGAAGAAUGAACCUGUGAGUUAAAUUAUGCUGCAAGGCUAAAUAUUCAAGAUAUGAAGUCGUAGUGAAAGCGAGCCUUAAUUGGGCGAUUAGUAGCAUAGUUUAGACCCGAAACCGAGUGAGCUAACCAUGAUCAGGUUGAAGCUCGUCGAGAGACGAGUGGAGGACCGAACCCGCUAGAGCAGAAAUUCUUUGGGAUGAAUUGUGGUUAGAGGUGAUAUGCCUAACGAACUCGGAGAUAGCUGGUUCUCCCCGAAAUAUAUUCAGGUAUAGCCCUGUGCAAUCAAUCUAGGGGUAGAGCUCUGGAUGGACUUGGUGGCAGCAAUGCUAUCGGUCCAAUCAAACUUCAAAUACUAGAUUGUGUAGCAGGAGUCAGUCCGAUCCGGCUAAGCGGAGCGGUCUCGAGGGAAACAACCCAGACUAACAGCUAAGGCCCCUAAAUGUACAUUAAGUGUUAAAGGAAGUCAUUGACCUUAGACAGCCAGGAAGUUGGCUUAGAAGCAGCCAUCUUUUAAAGAAAGCGUAACAGCUCGCUGGUCUACUACGGUUAGUGGCGCCGACAAUGAAUCGGGGCUAAAUGUACUGCCGAAGCUUUAGAUCUUGUGUACGACACAAGAAAUUCGAAGCACGAAUAACGAAAUACGAAACAAAUGAAAAUAUUUAAAAGAAAAAAAAUCAAAACCUUUAAAAAUUUGAAUUUAAAAUUUUUAGAUAUUGUUUCGAAUUUAGGAUUUAGAAUUUCGAGUUUCCUUGUGUUGUACACAAGGUGGUAGGGGAGCGUUUUGAUUGAAGUGAAGCCGUACUCGUGAGAGGUGGUGGAUCGAUCAGAAGUGAGAAUGCAGGUAUGAGUAACGAAAGCACUGUGAGAAACAGUGCCGCCGAAUGCCCUAGGUUUCCGAUCCAAUGUUAAUCAGGGUCGGGUAAGUCGGUCCUAACCAGAGGCCCCAAUAAGGCGUAUGGGAUGGACAACAGGUUAAAAUUCCUGUACUUUUUUGUGUUUGACAAAAUUCAAAGUAAAUUUAUUUACAGCGAAUCCACUAAGAGGGGACAAAAUGGGAAAAACUUUGCAAGCUAUACGCUUGUGCAAGCAACGAAUUAGGAAGAGUAGGAAAAUCCGCUCUUCGUCCGAGCAAUCGGGCUGUCAUAUACCAUUUGGUAUAUGAUACAUAGGUGAGUUGUGACGCCGAAAGAAAGUCUUUUUCUGUUUUCAGGAAAAUCCUCGUAUUGGAAACAUAGAAAAUCCGUACUUAAACCAACACAGGUGGGCGAGUUGAGUAUACAAAGGCGAUCGGAAGAACUAUCCUUAAGGAACUCGGCAAUACAGCUGGACGUAAGUUAGCAAGAUGUCCCGCCUCUUAUCGCAAGAUAAGGGGCCGCAGCAAAUGCCUCUGAGCGACUGUUUAUCAAAAACACAGGUCCGUGCUAAAGUGAAAACUGAUGUAUACGGGCUGACGCCUGCCCAGUGCCAGUAAUUUAAACUUUCAGGUGACUCCCGCCGCAAGGCGCGGACGAGCUUGGGGACUAAGAUCUGGUGAACGGCAGCAGUAACUAUAACUGUUCUAUGGUAGCGAAAUUCCUUGUCUGGUGAGUUCAGACCCGCACGAAAGGCAGAACGACUUAGAGACUGUCUUGAGGAUAGAUCCGGUGAAAUUGCAAUGGCUGUGAAGAUGCGGCCUACCCAUACUUGGACAAGAAGACCCCGUGGAGCUUUACUGGAGCUUGGCCCUGUUUUGUUGAAUUAAUUGUGUAGUGUAGGAGGGAGCUUUGGCGACAAUGAAACACCUCUCUUUUAAUUUAACAGGACUAACCGUUUAUUCCUUAUAAAAACAGGAGACGAGACAAGGUCUGGCGGACAGUUUAACUGGGGCGGUUUCCUCCAAAAACGUAACGGAGGAGUGCAAAGGUCCGCUUACCUCAAAAAGAAAUUGAGGUUACAAGCGCAUAAGUAUACAGCGGGCUUGACUGCGAGACUGACAGGUCGAGCAGGUGCGAAAGCAGGCUUAAGUGAUCCUAUAUUUGCUCAUGGAAGCGAUAUGGCUUAUCGGAUAAAAGCUACCCCGGGGAUAACAGGCUAGUCUUACCCAACAGUCCACAAGGACGGUAAGGUUCGGCACCUUUAAUAACAUUGGGGUGCGUCAGGAGUAAUCCUGUAGCACUGUAAUAUCUCAAAAGUUCCAAAAUCCAAGCAUCAAAUAACAAACAAGAACCAAAAUUAAAAAUAAUUAAAUUCUAAACAGUUUAAAUAUUUAAAUUUUGAAAAUUGUAAUUUGUUUGGUACUUGUGAUUUGAUAUUUGGAACUUAUUUAGUGUCUUCUUGAAUAAAAAAUACUAAUCAAAAUCGGUGAACACCUAACCAGUAAUGGAAGGUCAAUACCGAGGUAAAUUGGGAAAAAGGAUAAAGUAUAAAGGAUAAAGUAUAAAACUUAGUUUUGUAAUUUAUAAUUUAUAAGCGAAGCUUGCGAGCUUACGCUCUUAAUUUUGACUUUCUACUAAUCACUGUAACGACUUUCAUAUGCCAAACGGUAUAUGAGGAUGAGAGUGGCCGGGUUACCCGGAUAACAAACUUUCAUAAGACGAUUAGCCCCUAAUCGGGAAAUACGAAGCACGAAUAUCGAAAAACGAAACAAGUUAAAAAUACGAAUUUCAAAAAUUCAAAACCGUUUUGGCCAUUUGAAUUUAGGAUUUAAGUAUUGUUUCGAAUUUCGGAUUUAGAAUUUCGGAUUUUGCAUAGGGUGAAGGUAUAGUCUACACAAUUGGUAACAAUUGAUUUGAGCGAUGUCGGCUCAUCGUAUCCUGGGGCUGAAGUAGGUCCCAAGGGUCGGGCUGUUCGCCCGUUAAAACGGUACGCGAGCUGGGUUCAGAACGGCGUAAGCCAGUUCGGACUCUAUCCAGUAUGGGCGUUUGGAUUAUUGAGGGGAGUUGUCUCUAGUACGAGAGGACCGAGAUGAGGGAACCGCUAGUGUGCCUGUUGUCACUACAGUGGCAGCGCAGGGUAGCUACGUUCCUAACUGAUAAGUGCUGAAAGCAUCUAAGCACGAAGCAGGCCCCAAGAUGAGUAAUCUCUAAGACCCCAGGCAGACUACCUGGUUGAUAGGGAAGCAGUGUAAGCAUGGUAACGUGUUUAGCUUACUUCUACUAAUGGUC
rnacentral:rRNA from 1 species